UAUUAGUAUCGUCGUCUGCGAUGUGCGUCUGCAGAUCUGCGUGUGACGCAGGCGACCAGCAGCCAAUGGCGUGACACACAAACGCAGCAGAGUUGCGCAGUUACAUUGCGAGAGGAGCGCAGCCAUUACACUUGAUCUUAAAUCUUUAGAAAACGUCGUGCGGAUUGCACUGGCCAAUCAGUUUUCUCUACAAAUUCCGUGACAGUAUUCUGAAAUUAGCACUCAAAUCCGAGCGGGAUUUUCGCGAUCUCUGCUUAGGAAAGUUGUGAAACUUUAUAAACCGGGUUACUUCACAAGGUGUAGCGCGUCUGCUAGUGUCAGUGUUUCUCAGCUCGCAUCUCACGCGCGCUUUGAUGCAGCGCGAUGAUGGGCACACCUCUGAAGAACGAGCCGUCUGCUGCUGGUUGCAUGCCGUUGUGUUCUGACCUUACGUCUACCGGCGACUCGACUGCACGAGCAUCAUCACAGCAGCGCGAGCAGAUCGAGGCCCCGACUCCUGUUUUACUCUAUCCCAUCAGCGUUAACAGUGCUUUAUCAUCUUCACCCAUUUUUAACAACAAAGUCCCACAUGGUGGUCGAGGGAUUGAAGCUGUUUCCACAUCUUCUGAGUUCACCCAUGGUGCCAUCGUGCACCUCAUCGAAGCGAUGCAGAGGUGCUGGGAUGUUUACAGCUCACGCGAGCGCUCGCUUCUCUUCCAGAGCGUUCAGAAAGAACUGGAAAGCCACGGUCACUCCUUACCCGUAGAGAAGAUUCGCCGCAAAUGGAAUAACCUCAUUGUUACAUACAAGAGAGUUAAAGAUCGCAGCUCGUUGUGUGGAGGCCAAACAAAGACCUCAUGGGAGUACUUCGAAAUGAUGGAUAAUAUACUAGGAAAGACUAAAUUUGCUCAGAGAGGCCCUGCUUCAGCCACUCUUGUUGGAUUUGCAACCACAGCCAAAGCAGGUGUAAGAUCAGAGGAUCAUGCGUCUAACAGCAUGCCGGUGGCUGCAAUGACCGCCUCGUGCCUCCUUCCCACUGGAAUCAUCACAUCCUCUUCCCAGAUCCCUACACUUGUGACGUCCCCGGUGCUGUGCAAAGUUACCCCAAAAUUAAACCCCAGCCCCUCUUGUAGCACAGACACACCUCUGCCCUCCCUUUCACCAAAGCCAGUGCCGCUGGUGAACCGUCAGCCGCUGAAGCGGAGGCUACACCAUCUCCGGCUCAACUCCAUGGCCUCUCGUGUAGCUCAGCAGCAGGGGCAAGCUGAGGAACGCACCGCUCUUCUUCGCAGUUUCCUCACCGCUCAAGAAUAUGGGGUGUGA
ensembl:lncRNA